rnacentral:pre_miRNA from 14 species
CGUUCGAGUCUCAGGAUGGCGCGCCCCAGGAAACACCGAACCCGGACGAGCCCCCAAAUGAAAGAACCCACACAGAGAGAGACCCUUACUCAAGUCUCGGUAAAUCACGAACCCCAGACAGAGAGAGACCA